UGAAUUAUGACAUAACCUCGAAAGAGCUUUUGUUCCCAUCGAUUAACGCCAUUUAAAUGCAGACGGGACGAGUCUGUAAAAGGAAUGUGAUUCAAUUAUUUUAUCUGAAUUUAAUGGAAAUUCAUAUGCUUUAUUAUUCUAAGCAUUUAUCAUCCGUCGAUAAAUGGUAGUUUCUCAGCAAUCGCCGAACGGUGGAGCCACUUAGUGCGUCGCGUAGUCGCGUAGGAGGCCCUAUGGGAUAAUUAUUAUUCCGAAAUCUUAAUUACAUUAGCAAAAAAAAAACAAAAUAGGAAAACGUCGUUGCUGAAGUUUGGAACGAUGACGAGAAAGUUUAAAGAAAUGGCACUUGCGGUGAACAAAUAGCCCCAAUAAAAAUUGGACUCUUGCAGUCGACAUGCAAUUAUCUACAAUUGUUAUAUUUCAACCGCGGCAAGAAAAAAUUUCUCGUGUCAGUGAAGGCGUACCAACAUUUUUCUAUCAAGAGAAUCAAUGUUUUUAAACUAUGGCGUCGUCAUCGCAACAGCUAAUGAUCGGUCGAAAAAUAAACAUCCACGACGAAUAAAUGAUAGAAUAAUCGACGAGUAAUGCAUAUUUGAAAGGUUUCAAAACUGGAAUUCCUUUGAAUAGAUGUAAUCACGGAAAUUCAAUGGAAAAAAGGACGGAAGAUUGAGGCUUUUAUGGGUCCGACUAAUCGUUCCUGGUGCUGUUCCCGGGAGACCUUCUCGGCUGCCCGCAGCCGCUGAUACACAUUAAUGCAUCGCAUUUGAACGAGGGUCUGGACUCUGGAAAACCCGAUCGGUAGAAGGCCCUUAAUUUUCCUCAGUUUCGAGUGCUCGGGGUCUCCGGAUACUCGGAGAAAAAAUAGAAAAAUUGCCUUCGUCCCGACCGUUCGGGCACGAGCCGGUGCGAGGCUGAGCGGUCACCCAUCCGGAUCUACCGAAAUUUCGAGGAUCAAUGAUGCAGACCGUGGAGCAACUUUUUUUUCAAGUGCUUCGGGAAACGUGAUUUUUAAUGCUCUAAUAUUGGAGAAAAAAUGAACCCCGUUUAUGCACUGCUCGACGUAUUUAAGGCGUUGCUGAAUGAAAAUAUGAAAAAAUUGGAAGAGCACUGCUCGAGUCGAGGCUGGUCGAGCCGAGGGGAAGAAAAAUGGAGAAAAUUGUUCUGGAAUAUUUUUAGGACAUGCGACGACAAGGAGAGCUCGAUGAACCUCCUUCGAAGUUGUACUUACUGAUAA
rnacentral:lncRNA from 1 species